rnacentral:rRNA from 1 species
UACGAAGGAUGCAAGCGUUAUCCGGAUUUAUUGGUUGUAAAGGGAGCGUAGGCGGCCUUAUAAGUCAGUGGUGAAAUCUCGUUGCUUAACAACGAACGUGCCAUUGAUACUGUAGGCUUGAGUACAGAUGCCGUUGGCGGAAUGUGUCAUGUAGCGGUGAAUGCAUAGAUAUGACACAGAACACCGAUUGCGAAGGCAGCUGACGAAACUGUAACUGACGCUGAGGCUCGAAAGCGUGGGGAUCAAACAGG